GGGUUGUGAGGUUAAGCGACUAAGCGUACACGGUGGAUGCCCUGGCAGUCAGAGGCGAUGAAGGACGUGCUAAUCUGCGAUAAGCGUCGGUAAGGUGAUAUGAACCGUUAUAACCGGCGAUUUCCGAAUGGGGAAACCCAGUGUGAUUCGUCACACUAUCAUUAACUGAAUCCAUAGGUUAAUGAGGCGAACCGGGGGAACUGAAACAUCUAAGUACCCCGAGGAAAAGAAAUCAACCGAGAUUCCCCCAGUAGCGGCGAGCGAACGGGGAGCAGCCCAGAGCCUGAAUCAGUGUGUGUGUUAGUGGAAGCGUCUGGAAAGGCGCGCGAUACAGGGUGACAGCCCCGUACACAAAAAUGCACAUACUGUGAGCUCGAUGAGUAGGGCGGGACACGUGGUAUCCUGUCUGAAUAUGGGGGGACCAUCCUCCAAGGCUAAAUACUCCUGACUGACCGAUAGUGAACCAGUACCGUGAGGGAAAGGCGAAAAGAACCCCGGCGAGGGGAGUGAAAAAGAACCUGAAACCGUGUACGUACAAGCAGUGGGAGCACGCUUAGGCGUGUGACUGCGUACCUUUUGUAUAAUGGGUCAGCGACUUAUAUUCUGUAGCAAGGUUAACCGAAUAGGGGAGCCGAAGGGAAACCGAGUCUUAACUGGGCGUUAAGUUGCAGGGUAUAGACCCGAAACCCGGUGAUCUAGCCAUGGGCAGGUUGAAGGUUGGGUAACACUAACUGGAGGACCGAACCGACUAAUGUUGAAAAAUUAGCGGAUGACUUGUGGCUGGGGGUGAAAGGCCAAUCAAACCGGGAGAUAGCUGGUUCUCCCCGAAAGCUAUUUAGGUAGCGCCUCGUGAAUUCAUCUCCGGGGGUAGAGCACUGUUUCGGCAAGGGGGUCAUCCCGACUUACCAACCCGAUGCAAACUGCGAAUACCGGAGAAUGUUAUCACGGGAGACACACGGCGGGUGCUAACGUCCGUCGUGAAGAGGGAAACAACCCAGACCGCCAGCUAAGGUCCCAAAGUCAUGGUUAAGUGGGAAACGAUGUGGGAAGGCCCAGACAGCCAGGAUGUUGGCUUAGAAGCAGCCAUCAUUUAAAGAAAGCGUAAUAGCUCACUGGUCGAGUCGGCCUGCGCGGAAGAUGUAACGGGGCUAAACCAUGCACCGAAGCUGCGGCAGCGACGCUUAUGCGUUGUUGGGUAGGGGAGCGUUCUGUAAGCCUGCGAAGGUGUGCUGUGAGGCAUGCUGGAGGUAUCAGAAGUGCGAAUGCUGACAUAAGUAACGAUAAAGCGGGUGAAAAGCCCGCUCGCCGGAAGACCAAGGGUUCCUGUCCAACGUUAAUCGGGGCAGGGUGAGUCGACCCCUAAGGCGAGGCCGAAAGGCGUAGUCGAUGGGAAACAGGUUAAUAUUCCUGUACUUGGUGUUACUGCGAAGGGGGGACGGAGAAGGCUAUGUUGGCCGGGCGACGGUUGUCCCGGUUUAAGCGUGUAGGCUGGUUUUCCAGGCAAAUCCGGAAAAUCAAGGCUGAGGCGUGAUGACGAGGCACUACGGUGCUGAAGCAACAAAUGCCCUGCUUCCAGGAAAAGCCUCUAAGCAUCAGGUAACAUCAAAUCGUACCCCAAACCGACACAGGUGGUCAGGUAGAGAAUACCAAGGCGCUUGAGAGAACUCGGGUGAAGGAACUAGGCAAAAUGGUGCCGUAACUUCGGGAGAAGGCACGCUGAUAUGUAGGUGAAGUCCCUCGCGGAUGGAGCUGAAAUCAGUCGAAGAUACCAGCUGGCUGCAACUGUUUAUUAAAAACACAGCACUGUGCAAACACGAAAGUGGACGUAUACGGUGUGACGCCUGCCCGGUGCCGGAAGGUUAAUUGAUGGGGUUAGCGCAAGCGAAGCUCUUGAUCGAAGCCCCGGUAAACGGCGGCCGUAACUAUAACGGUCCUAAGGUAGCGAAAUUCCUUGUCGGGUAAGUUCCGACCUGCACGAAUGGCGUAAUGAUGGCCAGGCUGUCUCCACCCGAGACUCAGUGAAAUUGAACUCGCUGUGAAGAUGCAGUGUACCCGCGGCAAGACGGAAAGACCCCGUGAACCUUUACUAUAGCUUGACACUGAACAUUGAGCCUUGAUGUGUAGGAUAGGUGGGAGGCUUUGAAGUGUGGACGCCAGUCUGCAUGGAGCCGACCUUGAAAUACCACCCUUUAAUGUUUGAUGUUCUAACGUUGACCCGUGAUCCGGGUUGCGGACAGUGUCUGGUGGGUAGUUUGACUGGGGCGGUCUCCUCCUAAAGAGUAACGGAGGAGCACGAAGGUUGGCUAAUCCUGGUCGGACAUCAGGAGGUUAGUGCAAUGGCAUAAGCCAGCUUGACUGCGAGCGUGACGGCGCGAGCAGGUGCGAAAGCAGGUCAUAGUGAUCCGGUGGUUCUGAAUGGAAGGGCCAUCGCUCAACGGAUAAAAGGUACUCCGGGGAUAACAGGCUGAUACCGCCCAAGAGUUCAUAUCGACGGCGGUGUUUGGCACCUCGAUGUCGGCUCAUCACAUCCUGGGGCUGAAGUAGGUCCCAAGGGUAUGGCUGUUCGCCAUUUAAAGUGGUACGCGAGCUGGGUUUAGAACGUCGUGAGACAGUUCGGUCCCUAUCUGCCGUGGGCGCUGGAGAACUGAGGGGGGCUGCUCCUAGUACGAGAGGACCGGAGUGGACGCAUCACUGGUGUUCGGGUUGUCAUGCCAAUGGCACUGCCCGGUAGCUAAAUGCGGAAGAGAUAAGUGCUGAAAGCAUCUAAGCACGAAACUUGCCCCGAGAUGAGUUCUCCCUGACUCCUUGAGAGUCCUGAAGGAACGUUGAAGACGACGACGUUGAUAGGCCGGGUGUGUAAGCGCAGCGAUGCGUUGAGCUAACCGGUACUAAUGAACCGUGAGGCUUAACCUUACAACGCCGAAGGUGUUU
rnacentral:rRNA from 1 species